GAGUAACACGUAAGUAAUCUACCCUCGAGGUGGGAAUAACAACCGGAAACGGUUGCUAAUACCGCAUAAUGCAGCGGCACCGCAAGGUGACAGUUGUUAAAGAUUUAUCGCUUGAGGAGGAGCUUGCGGCAGAUUAGCUAGUUGGUAGGGUAACGGCUUACCAAGGCUACGAUCUGUAACCGGUCUAAGAGGACGGUCGGUCACACUGACACUGAAUAACGGGUCAGACUCCUACGGGAGGCAGCAGUCGGGAAUUUUGGGCAAUGGGCGAAAGCCUGACCCAGCAACGCCGCGUGAAGGAUGAAGUAUUUCGGUAUGUAAACUUCGAAAGAAUAGGAAGAAUUAAUGACGGUACUAUUUAUAAGGUCCGGCUAACUACGUG
rnacentral:rRNA from 1 species